GGGCACCUACGGGGGCCUAUAAACAUGGUGGGAUCAAAUCCCACCCUACAUAGGUGGGGCGAAAUCCCUGCCGUUUGCUAAACGGAAGACAGAAA
rnacentral:ncRNA from 1 species